UUGUUUUAGUAGCACAUAUACUAAAAUUGAAAUGAUACAUAGAAGAUUAACAUGUUCCUCCUGCACAAGAAUGACACACAAAUUCAUAAAAUGUUCCAUUUAUUU